rnacentral:rRNA from 1 species
GACGAACGCUGGCGGCGUGCUUAACACAUGCAAGUCGAACGAUGAAGAAGAGAAACGCGAACUUCGGUUCAAAUUUCACUUCGGAUUAGUGGCAGACGGGUGAGUAACGCGUGAGCAACCUACCUCUUACAAAGGGAUAGCCUCGGGAAACCGUGAUUAAUACCAUAUGACACAUUCAUAAGGCAUCUUAAGAAUGUUAAAGCUACGGCGGUAAGAGAUGGGCUCGCGUCCCAUUAGCUAGUUGGUGAGGUAACGGCCCACCGAGGCGACGAUGGGUAACCGGCCUGAGAGGGUGAACGGUCACAUUGGAACUGAGACACGGUCCAAACUCCUACGGGAAGCAGCAGUGGGGAAUAUUGCACAAUGGAGGGAACUCUGAUGCAGCGACGCCGCGUGAGCGAUGAAGGAAUUCGUUUCGUAAAGCUCUGUUCUAUGGGAAGAAAAGGACUGUACCAUAGGAGAAAGCCCCGGCUAAAUACGUG